rnacentral:misc_RNA from 1 species
UUUUCAAAUAUAAUCUUCUUAAUUAAUCAAGUUUGACCAUGGAGGAACUUAAUGUUCCUUCUAAUCUACAAAAUAUACAGCAUUUAUUGCUCUAUUUUCUCUUUUUUUUUUGGGGGGGGGGUGCAAAAAACCACUAAAGAUCUAACUGCCUUGAAAAUUUGUCGACUGCAUCUCAUGAUUUCAAAAUAAUCAUUAAUUAACGAUCACUAAACACCACACAUUAUUAAAAUAUGUUUAACAAUGAUUAUUUCUUCGCAUUCUGGACACACUGGAACAGGCUCUUGGGACAUUAAGUAACCAUGUGUCAAUCGACAGUGCCCUAUCCUCAGUCUAGCAAAAGUUGUUUCUUCUUUCCUGGGUUUUCGUAAGGAUCUGUCCCACUCUGACAGAGCCCUUAAUUUCCCUAAGUUUGUUAUUCCUCACUCUCUGCCACUCAAUUUCCCAUUGUGACCAUAUAACUUUUUUAGUAAAUGAAUUAAAAUCUUCGUAAGGUACUUCGAUUACUUUAUGCCCUUCUGUUAUAGCUUUCUUUGCUGCGUGGUCAGCUUCUUCAUUCCCAAUUAUGCUACUAUGACUCGGGAUCUAUAAGAAGCACCCAGACUGAUUUGCUAUCAUAAGAAAAAUAUCUUGUACUCUAGGAUUAGUCGUGAAGAGGUUUUAAAGGGUUCAGAUGGCAGAGAGAGAAUUGGAACAAACUAUUACAUUAGGGGGCUUGUGGUCUCCCACACUGAGACAUUUAAUUAUGGCUAGUAGUUCAGCUGUAAAAUUACUACAGACUGUUGACAAAGAGAACAUCAUUUUCCUAUUGUUACAGACGAAUGCGGCACCAACGCCAUCAUUUCCUUUUGACUCAUAUGUACUGCAGCAUGAUGCAAUACAUUCCUCCUUUUCCAAUGUAGAUGCAAUAUUUAAUAUUCUUUCUAUGAAAUCUUACAAAAAAUAUUGAAAACAAUCAUAUAAGUAAUAAAAUGCCAUUUCAUAUAAAAAUGAGAAUAGAAGGCUCAUAAACUUGUUGCAUUGGUAAAAAACUGUUAUAUCUGUUGUGAUUUGUUAUUACUUAAUUUAAUUUCUUGAAGUAUUUGUAUUAUGUAUAAUCACUAGCUCAGUAAUCUUAAAGUUUAAAGUAUACAUCUUAAAUCAAAAUUUCAUUAAAUUAUUGAUCUUAAAUCAAAAUUACUUCCAAUAAAAUAAGCCUAGCUGACCAAACCAGUGAUGAUUUGAUGACCUGGAUGAUGGGAAUGUAAAACUACAACUUAAAUAUAAGCGAAAUGUGCUUUCUUGAUAUUUCCAAAAAUAGUUUUUACAUUUCUUGGAAUAUGAAAUAUUUUAAUACAUUUUGUAUCCUUCUAGUCAUUUUAUCAGUUUCAAAUUGUGGACAUACAACUUCACAAUUUUUCCAAAAGGUGCUUGGAGGGAUAUCAAAAAGCUAUGAAAGGUUUAGCAAUUGGGUUUAUGCAAAACAUGCAUCUACACAUUGUUUUCAUUUAUUUACAAGAGACAAUUUAAAUAACUCUGAUGUUUAUGAGGUAAAUGUUACAAAUAAUGGAGAACUAUUUAAAAAAUUUAAUCCAAAGAAUCCAACAAAGAUUCUAAUUCAUGGUUGGAGGGGGUCUGUGGAAUCUACCUUUUGCACACUAUUGAAGGACACAUAUCUAGAUGUUGGUGACUACAAUAUUAUUAUUUUUGAUUGGAGUAAUGAUGCAAAUAAAUCUUAUAGAUUUGCCAAAACUGCUGUUACAAAAGCAGGAAAAAUUGUUGCAAGUUUCAUUGACUCACUAGUGAAAAAGCACAAGGUGAAAUCUGAAGAUUUACAUUUGAUCGGUCAUAGUUUAGGGGCUCAUGUAUCAGGAGUGGCUGGUUAUUUUACCACAACAGGACAAAUUGGACGAAUAACAGGUCUCGAUCCAUCUUUACCAUUGUAUUUAAAUGUUCCUGAAAGUGAGAAACUGUCUAACAAAUCAGCGAAUUUUGUUGAUAUUAUUCAUACGUGCGCUUUAUACCUUGGUAUUUGGUCCAACAUUGGACAUGCAGAUUUUUAUCCUAAUAAAGGAACGUUUAUUCAGCCUGGUUGUGGCUUUGAUGCUUUAGGUAAAUGCAGUCAUAAUAGAUCAUAUUAUUACUUUAUGGAAUCAAUAGAAAACCCUUCAUCAUUCAUAGCAACAAAAUGCGAUAACUGGUAUAAAUUUGCUAACAAAGGAUGUUCAAACGAAACAAAAGUAGUUAUGGGUGAACACUGUCUUAGCAGUACUGGAUUUCAGCACUCAAGGAAUUUACUAUCUGGUGACUGCAGAUAAUCCACCAUUUGGAAAGAAAGAAAACUCAUCUGAAAUUGAACCAUCAAUUCAACAGUUGAAUACAAAUUGUUACAGUGUCUUCAGCGAAUUUCAAAAGUGUGGCAGUCGGGUCUGCACCCGGGCUGAGAAUGAAUAUCAAUGGUAUGAAGCACUGCGA